AUUGAACGCUGGCGGCAUGCUUUACACAUGCAAGUCGAACGGUAACAGGUUAAGCUGACGAGUGGCGAACGGGUGAGUAAUGCAUCGGAACGUGCCCGGUCGUGGGGGAUAACGCAGCGAAAGCUGCGCUAAUACCGCAUACGAUCUAAGGAUGAAAGCGGGGGACCGUAAGGCCUCGCGCGAUCGGAGCGGCCGAUGUCAGAUUAGGUAGUUGGUGGGGUAAAGGCUCACCAAGCCAACGAUCCGUAGCUGGUCUGAGAGGACGACCAGCCACACUGGGACUGAGACACGGCCCAGACUCCUACGGGAGGCAGCAGUGGGGAAUUUUGGACAAUGGGCGAAAGCCUGAUCCAGCAAUGCCGCGUGCAGGAAGAAGGCCUUCGGGUUGUAAACUGCUUUUGUACGGAGCGAAAAGGUCUCCUCUAAUACAGGGGGCUCAUGACGGUACCGUAAGAAUAAGCACCGGCUAACUACGUGCCAGCCGCCGCCGCGG
rnacentral:rRNA from 1 species